rnacentral:rRNA from 1 species
UCGAGAAUCUUCGGCAAUGGGCGCAAGCCUGACCGAGCGACGCCGCGUGGAGGAAGAAGGCCCUCGGGUUGUAAACUCCUGUUGGGGGGAAUCAAUUCAAUGAGAGAACCCCUGAGGAAGCACGGGCUAAGUUCGUGCCAGCAGCCGCGGUAAGACGAACCGUGCGAACGUUAUUCGGAAUCACUGGGCUUAAAGCGCGCGUAGGCGGCGCCGUAAGUCAGGGGUGAAAUCCCAACGGCUCAACCGUGGAAUUGCCUUUGAUACUGCGAUGCUCGAGGGAGUAGGGGCAAGUGGAACUUCCAGUGGAGCGGUGAAAUGUGUUGAGAUUGGAAGGAACGCCGGUGGCGAAAGGGACUCACUGGGUCCUAACUGACGCUGAUGCACGAAAGCCAGGGGAGCAAACGGGAUUAGAUACCCUUGUAGUCCCUGAGCGGGCUGGCAAGGCGCAU